rnacentral:rRNA from 1 species
AGCAGCCGCGGUAAUUCCAGCUCCAAUAGCGUAUAUUAAAGUUGUUGCAGUUAAAAAGCUCGUAGUUGAAUUUCGGGGUCAGUAGGUCGGUUGUGCCACUGGUAUGAACUGGUUUUACUGAUUCCUCCCUCUUGAAGAACUGUAAUGCCAUUAAUUUGGUGUUGCAGGGAAUCAGGACUGUUACUUUGAAAAAUUAGAGUGUUUAAAGCAGGCUUUAGCUUGAAUACAUUAGCAUGGAAUAAUGAAAUAGGACGUUUGAUCCUAUUUUGUUGGUUUCUAGGAUUGACGUAAUGAUUAAUAGGGAUAGUUGGGGGCAUUAGUAUUCAAUUGUCAGAGGUGAAAUUCUUGGAUUU